rnacentral:rRNA from 1 species
UACGUAGGGCGCAAGCGUUAUCCGGAAUUAUUGGGCGUAAAGAGCUCGUAGGCGGUUUGUCGCGUCUGCCGUGAAAGUCCGGGGCUCAACUCCGGAUCUGCGGUGGGUACGGGCAGACUAGAGUGAUGUAGGGGAGACUGAAAUUCCUGGUGUAGCGGUGAAAUGCGCAGAUAUCAGGAGGAACACCGAUGGCGAAGGCGGGGUCUCCUGGGCAGUAACUGACGCUGAGGAGCGAAAGCGUGGGGAGCGAACAGG